UGUAAACAAACUUUUUGAAUGUCGGCGGAUGUUUUCAUCACUACAGAGAGAAGUGAAGAAGAAAGAAAUAGAAUCAGGGAAUAUAGACUACAUAUAGUCUAAAACCCUCUAAAAGAAGAAAGAAGAAGAAGAUCACUACAGAGGAGUCUAGAACCCUAUGAAGAAAAUUAAAGUUUCAUCGAAUACAAAAAAGAAAAGCUGAUGAACAACCAGCAAAGAAGUUUUGAUUCAAAUAGGGACUAUGGAUAACCAGUCUGAAACCCCAUGGAGAUGCAGCACCUUGGCAAAGUUACCACAAUGAGGAGAGUUAUUCACUUCAGGAGUCGGUGGAAGAAGCUGAUGAACAACCAGCAAAGAAGUUUUGAUUCAAAUAGGGAAUAUGGAUAACCAGUCUGAAACCCCAUGGAGAUGCAGCACCUUGGCGAAGUUACCACAAUGAGGAGAGUUAUUCACUUCAGGAGUCGGUGGAAGAAGCUGAUGAACAACCAGCAAAGAAGUUUUGAUUCAAAUAGGGACUAUGGAUAACCAGUCUGAAACCCCAUGGAGAUGCAGCACCUUGGCAAAGUUACCACAAUGAGAAGAGUUAUUCACUUCAGGAGUCGGUGAAAGACUCUCAUGGUGACUGACCCAUUUCCUGGAAGAAGUGCUAGCAGGAGUAUCUCAGAAGCUUGGAAUUAGAGCUACACAACGGAACACUCCAUGACAGACUUACAGAUGAUCCAGGGGGCUUAUCAGUUCCAGGACCAUCCCUAGGUGCCCAUUUGGAGUCGCUGGGAAGGCGUGGUUUCGAAGCAAGCUCCAAUCCCCGUCGGCCAAUCACAGGCCGAGCCGAGCAUGACCCUGCCCCUCCAAGUGACCCGGUAUCUCCCUCAAAAUAGGUCAUAGAUAGAUUUAGACAAAAAUAGUUCGACCUUCAAGUCAAGAGGACCUCCUCCUCAAGGAUUCCAGGUUGAGUUGUGUCUAGUGCCUUUAGUGACUUAUUUCAUAUACU
rnacentral:lncRNA from 1 species